AUUUUUUCAUGGAAGUCGGUUCGACUGCCGACUCGACAUCUUCUGACAAAAAUGCAGCCAAGUCUCGCGAGGACGAAAAUUCAGUCGAGCGCUCAGACGACCUUCUAUCCUCACGCUCAAAACGAUGUGACAUCCAGUUUGCUUAGAAUUCAGAAAUCACCUGGUUACAAACGGAUCAAGAAGCUCAUUCACUUGGUUGAAAAAUCGGUCCAGCCCAUUGAUACCGUCUUAUACGCUCCACCUCCGAAGAGGAUUUCUUCGCCGAAAUCGGUGUUAGGCGAGACCAGUUUGCAGGCGUCUCCUUUUAGUUUGGAUGCAUACUGGGCGCGCGUGAGUACGUACACAAGCUGGGGGUGGUUCAACAAGCCAUUCGACCUAUCGCCCUUGGAAUGUUCUUUGACGGGUUGGAGUCUGUACACACCCGACUCAGAGCAUCAAACGAGAGACGAGACUUUAAUAUGUUCUGUAUGCCAUCGAAUGCUGCGUUAUGUGCAGCCGGAAGCAGAAUUGCUCAAGGAAUAUUGCGAAGAAUUUCGCAGAUCGCUGAAAACGACACACCGCAAAGAAUGCGCGUUUUUUGAUUACUCAUGUCCGUCGUCCUUUUACAAGGGUUUUUUCCUAGACCCGCAGAGGUUGAGGGACGGAGUCCGAGAAAGGAUGAAGGAGCUCAAGAGCUGGAAAGGCGAGUGCGAGGAUCUCGAAUCAACUGCCUGUAUUGAGCCAGUUCUUUCAUAUGCAGUACGUGGUUUUGUGUUUAGCUGCACCCCUAAAAGUCGAAGACGCUUAUAGUUUCACGCGCGGAUUGAUGCAGGAAAGUGCUGGCCUGGAGGUGCGGAGGGUCGCACCGCUGGUCGAGUUCAUGUAUUUCGAUUCGAUUGCAACAGGUUGUGAGCUGAUGAAAAAGAAACUGAAUUUGUCCGUUUUGCAAGUACGAAAAUUUUUUUUUUAAAUUAUUACGUACACGCUUUUUUGAUGGCCUAAAUUGAAGAUGAUGGUUGCCUGGAUUUUUUGCGGAUGGGGGGCGUCCUGGCUGGAGCUGAAAGAUAAGAGGGCACUAACGUGGACGUGCAAAAUGUGCAAGAGAAAAGUUAUGAUGGAUUUGAGUACAUCGAAGGAUCCGGAGCAGCCUGGUCAAUCUGAACAGAGUGUCGAAGCGACGGGCAGUCCGACCUCAAAGCUAUUGGGAUUUGACGGGUCAACUCUCGUUAAUCCUUUGGAGGAACACCGAAGCUUCUGUCCUUGGAUUUGUCCGCUGUCGAAGUCCGAGUCAGAUUCAGAGGGAUGGAAGCUCUGCAUCAAGGCACUGAAAUUUGUCCAUUGCUUUACGGACCGCCGGACGGCGAAAGAGGCUGACGUAAAAGAUGCGCUUCCAAGAGUGUCUCAGAUGUUGGAUAGAGUGAAAAAAAACAGAGGCGCAGCUAUUACUGAAGCCAAACGAGCUUGAUCUUUACAGCUUAUUUUACGGAAUUUUCCAUCUAAACUCGUAAGGACCAUCACUGAAAAUCAAGAGAUUUGCGGAAUUCAGGAAAAUUACCUAGCGCCUGCAAUAAAGUUCUCGCUACCUCCUGAAAACGGAAGCUUACCUUGUUCCGAGCACUGCGCUUGGUGCAGGUUUGGAGUAGGAUCCCGUAUGCCGCAA